UACGGGGGGAGCAAGCGUUGUUCGGAUUUACUGGGCGUAAAGGGCGCGUAGGCGGUCAGCACAAGUCAGUUGUGAAAUCUCCGGGCUUAACUCGGAAAGGUCAACUGAUACUGUGCGACUAGAGUGCAGAAGGGGCAACUGGAAUUCUCGGUGUAGCGGUGAAAUGCGUGGAUAUCGAGAGGAACACCAGUGGCGAAGGCGGUGCUCUGGGCCGGAACUGACGCUGAGGAGCGCAAGCGUGGGGAGCAAACAGG
rnacentral:rRNA from 1 species